GAUUGAUGACAGCCUACUAGAGAAAGAAUAUUUAGACAUCAGACCUGUAAAAAAAUAGUGGUAUUACGCCUGAGGCAAAAUAUUUCGUUAAAAAUCAGUUGUUUCCCCUUCGCUAUGUUUUCGGUUUCGGAUUUCAACAGUAAAACAAGGAAGCAUGUGAAGUUUACUUUUGUUUAACUACCUUUUGUUCAACGAUGAAGGGAUCUGAGACUUGUAAUACUGUUUACUGAUUUGAUGAUAUUCCUUGUUCCUUUGAUGGUUCAUUCCACUAUACAGCUGGUUCAUAGACUCUACAACAGCCAGGAAAUUGGUCUGUUAAUUUAAGAUCCCAAGAAAAUGUAACAUAUUUUGGAUGUGCUUUGAGGAAUCAAGAAUGCAAGUGUUUCCUCUUGUUUAUGAAGCAACUCAGUUGGUUAAGGGGCAGACAACUUAUGAGCAUGGUACAUCACUACCUGUAUUGGUAUUCCAUUUUGACAAUGUUGCUAACUAGAACAGAAAUAACAUCUUGGUGUGGUACAGUCUGUGGAGACUUUUACUAGGAUAUCACAGAUUGAUUGAAUAUUCGACAAUGAUCACAGACCAUUCAAAGUUUGAAUCUG
rnacentral:lncRNA from 1 species